ACUCUGGGAAACUGGGGAUAAUACUGGAUAUUAGGCUAUGCCUGGAAUGGUUUGCCUUUGAAAUGUUUUUUCGCCUAAGGAUAGGUCUGCGGCUGAUUAGGUCGUUGGUGGGGUAAUGGCCCACCAAGCCGAUGAUCGGUACGGGUUGUGAGAGCAAGGGCCCGGAGAUGGAACCUGAGACAAGGUUCCAGACCCUACGGGGUGCAGCAGGCGCGAAACCUCCGCAAUGUACGAAAGUGCGACGGGGGGAUCCCAAGUGUUAUGCUUUUUUGUAUGACUUUUCA
rnacentral:rRNA from 1 species